UGAGGAAUAUUGGGCAAUGCCCGCAAGGGUGACCCAGCAACGCCGCGUGGAGGAUGAAUGUCGUAAGAUUGUAAACUCCUGUUAGAGGGGAAGAAUAGUACCGGCUGGACCGGUAUAUGACUGUACCCUCAGAGAAAGCCCCGGCUAACUACGUGCCAGCAGCCGCGGUAAUACGUAGGGGGCAAGCGUUGUCCGGAUUUACUGGGUGUAAAGGGCGCGCAGGCGGGAUAAAAAGUCAGUGGUGAAAUCCUACAGCUUAACUGUAGAACUGCCUUUGAUACUUUUAUUCUUGAGUUCGGGAGAGAGAGACGGAAUUCCAGGUGUAGUGGUGAAAUACGUAGAUAUCUGGAAGAACACCAGUUGCGAAGGCGGUCUCUUGGUCCGACACUGACGCUGAGGCGCGAAAGCGUGGGGAGCAAACA
rnacentral:rRNA from 1 species